AUUGAACGCUGGCGGCAGGCCUAACACAUGCAAGUCGAGCGCGCGGCGGACGGGUGAGUAAUGUGUAUGAAACUGCCCGAUGGAGAGGGAUAAAUCUUGGAAAAGCGAGCUAUUAUCGCAUACACUCUGAUGUGACCCGAUGGGAUUAGCUAGUAGGUGGGGUAACGGCUCACCUAGGCGACGCUCAGUCGCGGGUCUGAGAGGAUGAUCCGCCACACUGGGACUGAGACACGGCCCAGACUCCUACGGGAGGCAGCAGUGGGGAAUUUUGGACAAUGGGCGCAAGCCUGAUCCAGCCAUGCCGCGUGUCUGAAGAAGGCCUUCGGGUUGUAAAGGACUUUUGUCAGGGAAGCGGUACCUGAAGAAUAAGCACCGGCUAACUACGUGCCAGCAGCCGCGGUAAUUC
rnacentral:rRNA from 1 species